ACCAGUUGGGCUCACACAUCGGCCAUGGUAGCAGUGUUGGGAAGCUCCCCAACACCUCCCACUUCCACCUCCCACCCCCACCCAGGCCUCACCACUCAGCGUCAGCCACCGGGCCAAGUCUAGGACAGACAGCAACACAGGAGCCACCGAGGACCAGGGCCACAGGCAAAAGACAGCAGCACAAAGGUCAUUCUGAGCUGGGGUCUUAGACAAGAAACAAACCAGAGAGGUUCUAACACCAUCCACUUUGCUAGUCAAAACAACCAUUUUCUUUAGUGAUGUGAAGAGAAGACAGGUAAGGUAUGAUUGGGUGGGUGGGUGUGCCAGAACAUUGACAUUGAUAUUUUACUGUGUAACUCUAUUGCUUGGUCCUCAGGCCCCAGGUGCAGUGCUGCAUCUCUGGUCAAUUGGGAGUCUGAGAUGAAGCACUGUAGCUCGGGAAGGAGGGUGCUGCUACAGCGGGGUGAGCAGUCUGGGACAGAGGGAUAGCUCUGUCUAUCUCUAUGCCUUAUAAUCAUGGAGACCAUGCAUGGAAGCUGUUAUUGUGGCGAUAUGUGUUCAGAAUAUUAGGGAGGGAGGGAGGGCCCCCGUGACUGGUUCUGCCCCUCCCAGUCUCUCUCUCUUGCUCUCUUUCGCUUUCUCUCUCUCUCUCGCACUCUCUCUCUCUCUCUCUCUCUCGCACUCUCUCUCUGUCUCUCGCAGGUCUGGACACAUAUCUGAGAUACCAAAUCAUCAUUCCACCCAUGAUGUUAACAUGUUAAUGGACCAUUAAAGACUAGUUCCUGGUGUGUUUUCCAUGCUAUAAUUUAUCUCCUCCUCCUGAGUGCAUUUACAGCAUUACCCUGGGCUUUUCCUCGCCCCCGGGGUCCAGUUUUCCCAGGAAUCCCUUGGGUAAUCACAACGGGGAUUCCUGGAAAUACUGUUCUUGGGGGUGGGGCUUGACUACAUGGAUCUGGGAUAGUAAUACAAUGUGCUAGUAAUAUGUUGCAACGUAAUCUCAUGUGAAAAUGAUAUGACUGGGGAAGGACGAUAAAUAAACAGAUGGAACUAGCUACUGCAUACGGUACAGAAUAUCUUGAUGCAAGGCCAUUCUGGGUGCAUACUCUGUAAAUUACGCUACACCAUUUUAUAUGCAUUUCACUGUCAGAGGAUCUUAAUAAAGGCAUAUCAUGUUAUUGAACAGCUAUUUAUAACUCCACUUUUUUCUUAUUUUUUUAUGGGCAUUGUUGCCACUGUGCAAAUGUUAAAACUCAAUAAAAGUGAACAAUUCCAACAUGUC